GCUCCCAUUUGGGCACAUCACCUGACAUUCUGAGCUCUUAAUACUCAUUUGUCAAGAGCAAGACUGUGGCUCCAUACUGCCUUAAGGUAAACUCACCGUUAUGGUCCUAUUGACAGAAAACUGAUAGCAAAACCCAUAGAGUUGAAUUUCAUGUGAUUUUUUUCAACAUUAUGUGCUGCCAGAAGAUGUGUGUGUGUGUGUAACUAAGUUUGUUCUUGGUAUGAACUUCCGUGUGCAUGCACACUUCUUCAGUUCACUACACAGAUAUAUUUUGCAGAGGUUGCAAGAUAAACAAAAAUAGAAUUUCUGCCUCCUAUCUUUGCCCGCAGGGCCCGAUCCAUUCUAAUUUAAGUUAAAAUCACUAAAUUGCCUGAUUGAUUUCACGGGAACUGUUGUAUGAUUAACUUUCUCUUAAUUUGGUGCCAAACAUAUGGAGUCUUCUAAAAUCUUUUUUUCUUCCAUCUUCCAUCUUAAAAUACAUUUUAAACAACAACCUUAUAUUUAAGCUUGUUUUCUAUUCUUGCUAGGGAAGGAAUGGACCUUGAGAAAGUUGCUGAAACUCCUGUGGCGCUCAGUUAUUGCAUCACGAUUGUGUGAUUUUAUGCCCUGAAGUGAGCAAAUAAUUUCUAAAGUGUGUGUUUACAGCAACGUGGAAAGUGGGGUACAGGGACAGAAAACUAUAUGGCCAUGCUUAUAUAAAACCGAGAGAAGCAAAACUGUUAAGUUGUGGGUGAACAUAUCUGACGACACAGCGAUUCUUCAAACAGCUCUUCUUUAUUCAGAGGCCAGAUCAGAACUGAACUAAGGAGCUCAGUCAGCCUGCUUAUAUAGAGCUCCAGAAGAACGUAACUGUAGCAACUUUCUAAAACUAUCCAAUCACUGAACGUCACUUUCCAUCCUUCAUUUCCAUAACUAUCUACAGUAUCCCCGUGCUGGCCCAGGGUGAGAACUUCAGUACAUGACACCCCUCCCCACCGAGAUAAGGCGUUAGUUGCAAUCGUAAUGGUUUCUUUAUAUACAGCACUACACGUAAUGGUUCAAUUAGGCACAAAAGCAUUGGUUACAUUUCACAUACUUAGACCAACAGUGAUACAUGUCCAACAACAUAGUCCUUUAAAUAAGUUGGGCGCUUGGAAACUCUGCCUGACCGCCGGGGACUGGUAGCCAAGUCUGGGGUGCCACCCAAUUCUUGCUGAGGCUGUGGUGCGACCCUAGGUGGCGUUGAAACCAAGUCCCCUGGAUCCGCUGCUGUGGGUGGAACCUCCGCAAGUGGAGUUGGUGGAAUGUCAGGCACGGCAGUGGUCUGAGUCUGUGGUAAGUCUGGCAGACCCUCUGAAGUGGCUUGGUUCAGCUCCACGCCGGCAGUUUGCGAGAGAGGUGUAGGUGGAGCCUCACCAUCUGUAAGUGUCUGUUCCGGAGCCACGAGCGCAGUUGGGGGCACCACGGUAGUGUCCAAGUCCCCAACCCUGCGCCUAAGCUGGUCUAUGUGCUGGCGCCACAAGUGUCCGUCUUCGAGUGCCACCUGGUACGAGCGAGGUCCAGUGACUCCCACUACUGUGGCUGGCACCCAAGGAAUGUCCCCCACAUAGUUCCAGGUAAAGACCUGGUUUCCUGGAACAAAUGACCGUGGUGCGUUGGCACAGCCUGGGAGUUCGGCCACAGCAAAGUCUGGGUGCAGCCGGUCGAACGGGGACCUGAGGCGGCGGCCCAUAAGCAGUUCGGCAGGACUCCGCCCUGUGGCCGCAUGAGGGGUGAUGUGUUGUACGAACAAGUAUUCAGCGACCCGCUCGUGCCAGUCUCCCCGGUCCAGGCGCGCCAGUGCCUCUUUUGCCGGGCACACCAUUCUCUCUGCUUGCCUGUUGCUGGAUGGAUGAAAUGGUGCUGUUAGGGCAUGGCGGAUGCCCAGUCCCAAAAGGUACCGCUCAAAAGUGCCUGACAUGAAGUGUGGUCCGUUGUUGGAGACAAGUACAUCAGGACACCCAUGCGUCGCAAAGAGGCCUCGCAGCACCCGGAUGACGGCCUCGGUAGUGGUGGAGAGCAUCAGGGCCACAUCCAGCCAUUUGGAAUAGGCGUCCACCACUACCAUAAAGGUCCGGCCAUGAAAGGGGCCGGCCAGAUCAAUGUGCACCCUCGACCAGGGUGUCUUGGGUGUCUCCCAGGUGUGUCCCUUAGCUGCCGGUGAUGCAGGCCUCGAUUCUUGGCACGCUUGACACGCUUGGCACGCCUGGCAUCAUCCAUGUUAGGCCACCAGACGUAACACCGAGCCAAUGCCUUCAUUUUGACGAUUCCCGGGUGGCCAACGUGCAGAGCCUCAAGGACACGUUGACGGGGUCUUUGGGGAAUCAUGAUGCGGUUUCCCCACAGCAGACAGCCACGAUGAGCUGAGAGUUUGUGUUGUCUGGUUGCGAAGGGCUGGAACUCCGAUGCAAAAGGCCCUUGUGGCCACCCCCUCCACACCCAGUUGAGCACACGGCUGAUGGUGCAAUCCUGGGCAGAUGCGGAGGCCACAGUGGCAGCCGAUACAGGCACUGCCGGAAGAUCCUCAGUCAGGAGGAGUGAUGAAGCAGGAGCCGGGUCUUCCACAAAAGCUGGAAGAGGGCAACAGCUGAGGACGUCGGCAUGGCCCAUCAAUUUCCCCGGGCGAUGGACAAGCCAGUAGUGGUAGGCUGCCAGGAAAACAGUCCAUCACAGCAUGCGCGGCGAGAGGACCGGUGGAGUUGGACGAUCACCGGCGAGGAGGCCCAGGAGUGGCUUGUGGUCGGUGAUGAGGUCAAAAGUCCUGCCGUAGAGGUAUUCAUGGAACCUCUUCACUCCAGCCACAAGUGCCAGUGCCUCCUUGUCGAGCUGGCUGUAAUUCUGUUCAGUGAGAGAUAGCGUCCUGGAAAAGUAGGCGAGCGGUGCUUGUCUUCUGUCUGGAAAAUGGUGACUAAGGACAGCGCCGAUGCCAAAAGGUGAGGCGUCGCAGGCAAGGACCAGUGGCCUGGCUUCACUGUACUGUACCAGCACACUGUCCAAUGAAAGGAGAGCCUUGACCGCGUUGAAGGCCGCCAUCUCCCGAUGACCCCAGGACCGAGGUGUCUUUGUGCUGAGGAAUCGGUGAAGAGGCUCAGCCACCGUGGCUUUGUGGGGCAGGAACAUGUUAUAAAAGUUCAGCAGUCCCAGGAAUGCCUGCAACUCCGUCUUGUUCUUUGGGAUGGGGGCCUGCUGGAUAGCGCGGAUCUUGGAUGUGAUCAGGUGAAGGCCGGAGGCGUCGAUAAGAUAGCCCAGGAACUCCACCUGUGGAACGGCGAUCUGGCACUUCUCCCUCUUUACCUUGAGCCCGGCCUCCUGGAACCUGGUCAGCACGGCACGGAGGCGCUCGAACAGCUGCUGGUGUGAGUCUGCAGACACCAAGACGUCAUCAAAAUAUGGUACCACGCCCGGAAGCCCUUGCAGGAGACGCUCCAUAAGGCUUUGGAAGAUGCCAGGAGCCACACUCACCCCGAACUGCAAACGGCAGCAAUGGAAUGCCCCUCGGUGGGUGACAAUCAUCUGGGCUUCAGCAGUGGCAUCAUCGACGGGCAGUUGUUGAUAGGCUUGGGCAAGGUCCAGCUUAGCGAAGACCUUACCCUCACCCAGGGAAUGCAGCAGGUGUUUGACAACAGGAACUGGAUAAGCGUGCUGCUGAAGUGCCCUGUUGAUCGUGCACUUGUAGUCAGCGCAGAUUCUCACCGACCCGUCUGGCUUGACAGGCGUGACGAUGGGGGUUUCCCACUUGGCGUGGUCAACCGGCUCCAAAACUCCUUGGGCGAUCAGCUUGUCCAGUUGUUCGUCCACCUUAGCCUUGAGAGCAAAGGGAACCCGGCGUGGCUUUAGCUUGAUGGGGGCGACUUGUGGAUCAAGGCUAAAGGAGAUGGGUGUACCUGUAUAUUGCCCCAAAGUGCCAUCAAAAACCUUGGCAAAAUUUUUGACCAGACCCUCAGUCUCUGCGUUAGAGAUGCAGUUGAUGCCGGUGACUUCCAGGCCGAGGGCAUCAAACCAGUCUAGCCCUAGGAGGCUUGGCUGCUGACCUUCGACCACCACUAGUCAGAGCAGGCCCGAAAAAUCCUUGAAGGCGAUCCAGAACCGGCCAACACCUACCACGGGAAUGUCAUUUCCCUGGUAGUCUCUCAGGUGUACUCGGUGAGAGUCGAGUUGCCUUUUGGACACUCUGGGUACCAGUCUUUUGAUGGUGCUCCAAGACACGAUGGGCAGGGCAGGCCCAGUAUCGAUCUCCAUGUCACAUGGAGCUCCUUCAAUGAGCACCGUGACGUUCAGCUUGCGUCGCGUAGGCGAGUCGGUUUGGCCAAUCGUGGUUCCAGACGGGCAGCGGCAGUUGGUGAGAGCGAAACAGCUUUCCUUGGCGGACUGGAGUGAAGACUUGGACUUGCAAGUCGGUGAAGGGGGGGUGUCAGCCGGAGCCGAUCAGCAGACCUUAGCGAUGUGGCCCCUUCUGGAACACCUCCGACAGAUGGCAUCUCUGAAUCGACACUUGGCACGGGAAUGGUUGCCUCCGCAGCCGGCACAUUCCGAUUGGCCCUUGGACUUCUUUGGAACUUCCUGCACUCCCGCUUUGUCUGGUGCACGUCAUCGUCUUCACUGGAGGAUGCCUCAUCACGGCUGGCCUCUUCAUGAUGCACUGGAACUGGCUUCCUAGCAAGACGCGGGCUGCUGGCCUUGCGGAUCUCCUGGGCGGAGCAUUCGGCAGCUUCCGAGACCACGGCCUCCUCAAUGGCUUUCUGCAGUGUGAGGUCUGGCUUGGCGAGGAGACGCCGUUGCAGACGGAUGUCCUGGACCCGACAGACGAUUCGAUCCAUCAGGGCAUCAUCUAAAUCUCGGAACUCGCAGUGCAUUGCAGCCUGUCGGAGGGUGGCAGUGUAGUUGUUAAUUGACUCCCCCUCUGACUGGUUCCGGUGGUAGAAUGCAUGGCGGGCAACAAUCUUGGACUGCUUGGGCGAGUAGUGGUUGCAGAGCUUCUCUUGAAUUGUGUCCCACGGUGUUGCCUGGACUGCUUCAGGCGCAACCAAUGCUCAGGCCGUCUCAAACACCUCAGGCCCACAGAGGCUGAGGAAUAGGCCCAGCUUCCACUCCUUUGAUACUUCUGUCAGCUCUUUGGCUUGGAGGUAGCAGUCAAACCGAGCGAGGUAGGAGUCCCAUGAUUCACAGGCUGGCGCAAACGGCGGUAGAGGCACAAGUGAAGCCAUGAUUCCGAUGCUGGCGUGAAGGGUGAUGGAUGGAGCACAGUGCUCUAGCCAGAACAGUCAGCUCUGAAUUGGUUCUGUUCAGUGAUUUCGCUCAGUGAUUCAGCUCAGUGAUUUAGCUCAGUUCAGAGGGUGGCUGCAUCUGGCUGUGCUCUGAUGUCCAUCAAUUCCACCUUCGUCGCCAGUGUUAAGUUGUGGGUGAACAUAUCCGACGACACAGCGAUUCUUCAAACAGCUCUUCUUUAUUCAGAGGCCAGAUCAGAACUGAACUGAGGAGCUUAGUCAGCCUGCUUAUAUAGAGCUCCAGAACAACGUAACUGUAGCAACUUUCUAAAACUAUCCAAUCACUGAACGUUACUUUCGAUCCUUCAUUUGCAUACAAACUAUCCAACCACUGAACGUCACUUUCGAUCCUUCAUUUGCAUAACUAUCUACAGUAUCCCCCUGCUGGCCCAGGGUGAGAACUUCAGUACAUAACAAAAACCAAGGCAUGCAGACAAGAAAGACAUAAAACAGAAAGAGUAUGCUGAAAAUCUGAUUCAGUAGGUAACAGGAAAUUUAGAAAGCAAUCACUUUUCAGGGUGAGCAAAUAAUGUUUGAAACAAUUAGAGGCAGCAAUGGAAACUGCUAUUGGGGAUGCAUUACAUGUAAUAUUAGAAAAAGCACUUAGGUGGGAAACAAUAAGAGGAUCAUCAAUAAGAGGUGGAUCAUCGUAGAUGGUGUGUUUGGCCUUCUUCCAUUUCUAAAUUGCUUUCGGUUAUCUGUUUGGUUUGGAAGUAUUUUAAACCACGCACUGUAAAAGUUGUCUUCAGUUUUGUCAUAUAUAUUUUUAUAGCCCCUAGCAUCCUUCUCUUUUCAAGGGCAAUGUAGUACAAUGGGCACACACAGUGGAUGGACUGAAAUGAACAAGAGGCUGAUGUCUCAAGUGAACACUGCUUAAUUAUGUAUGGCCAGCUGCUUUCAUUGACUAUGAUACAUAUGUGCCAGAGGAGAGCAGGGAAGAAAGAGGUAUGUGAAACAAGGGUCUGAAUCUUCCAUUUAUUUAGUUGAGAGCAAUGCCAAAGGAAUUUUAAAAAGUUAUCUAUGCUAGCAUUACAUUGUUAACAAGUCUCAGUAUCUGGCAGCAGUAUGAGGAAUUCUACACAGUCAUACAAAACAUGUCCCAACUGUAUUUAUCUUAAUUCGUUUUUAGAAAAGAGCAGUGUUAACAUCCCAUCUGUAGGUGGAAGGGAGUACAGGAGAACAGCCAUGUUUUAAAAAGAAAUUUGUUUUAAACAAAAUAUUUAAGAGAAAGCACCUCCCCAAAAAAAUUAAUAAGCAGGGCAGAGUGGGGUAGUGACACAAACUUGCUCCCAUAAGGCUUUUAGACUUAAGAAUGUUGUGCUCUUGGCUACAAUAACUAGAAAUCACAAUCCUCUCUUAAAUCCACAUACUGGUCUGGCACAGAAUUAGCCACAUUCUUCUUCACUUGUCCAGAUCCUCAAAGUGUCCCUAUUUUCCCGGGACAGUUCCAGAUUUACAGAAGCUGUUCUUGUUUCCGAUUUUAUCCCGGAAUGUCCCGCUUUGCCUUAGGACGUCCCUAUUUUCAUCAGAAAAAUGUGGGAGGCUAUGGAGUUAUCUGCCCCCCCCCCAAGUUAUUUGAAGGCAGUCCUGUAGUUUUUAAAUGUUUUGUGUUUUGUUGUGUUUUUAUAUGUGUUGGAAGCCACCCAGAGUAUAAAUUUAAAAAUUAUUAUGGAAUAGGAUGUCCCAGAGAAAUAUUGGAGGGUAUGCUUGUCACCUUCUCAGAGUGAUUCCUAGUGCUAAAACACUGGGACCGGGGUGGGGUAAGCCUCUAUUUUUUCACUCCUCAACCUUGCUAAGAGGCUCCAAGAACAACUAGAGCAGAGCCUUCCAAAUUUUUCACGUUGGUGACACACUUUUUAGACAUGCAUUGAUAAGUUCUGGGUGAACAUAUCUGACGACACAGCAAUUCUUCAAACAGCUCUUGUUUAUUCACAGGCCAGAACAGAACUGAACUGAAGGGUUCAGCCAGUCUGCUUAUAUAGAGCUCCACUAGAACGCAACAGUAACCAUUUUCUGUAACUAUCCAAUCACUGAACAUCACUUUCGAUCCCUUAUUUGCAUAUGUGGACCUGAACUAUCUACAGUAUCCCCCUGCUGGCCCAGGGUGAGAACUUCAGUACAUAACACGCAUCAUUCUGUGACACUGCUAUUCAGUUUUACUAGCAAACCAGAGGUUAAAAUAAUCCCUUUCCAGCCCUGGGAGAACCGCAGGGCGUGUCGCGACAUACAGUUUGGAAAACUCUGUACAGUACUAGAGGCCACUUGCUGAGUACACUAAACUAUUUUUCUUUACUGCAUAUAUUCACAGCUUUUCUCCCACUUUUGCUUUAUAUACUGCUUUCAUAAAAAAAAAUCAUUUAGAAUAUGAGUUUGACUGUAUUUCUGUACCACCCAUCGAGGUUGCAUGGUGCCACUGGCUUCACUUGCAACAAUCAUCUCCAAAGGAAAGAAUACACACAUAUGUAUUCCAUGGAUUUCAGAGACACAGUUGUGCAGGAUUCCAUAUUGCAUGGAAGGCGUAUACACAGAGAGGUCUGUGUGCACAGCAUCUGACCACACCAUGAGGAGUGUGUCUGUGUGUGGCAGUGCUUCACUACCUUGAGAGGAGAACCGGAAACAUGAGCCUGGAGCCCCAUUCUACAUUUGAUUCCCUUUCAUGCAUGAAAGAAGCGUGAAACUGCAGCAUAUUGCAUUAUUUGGAGGAAGGCCCUAUGGUUUGAAAGCGCUGGUAAACAGGAUAUUUCUGCAACUUGUACUACCUUUUCAUUUAUAUAUGUAUACUGGGUAUGUUUUUGUUUUUUACUGUUCAGUAUGUCUUGGGAUGAAUAUGUAAGUCGUCUCGAGGGAACAAGUGGAAAAGCAGGUUAUAUAUUUUAAGAUUAAUAAACCAAUAAUCAACACACUAAAAAAGAAGCACAUUUUAAAUGAGAAAACUAAUCUCUGUAUUAUCUGAAACCAGAGGAUUUUUUGUAUCCUCAACCUUUGAAAGAAAAGUCAAUAAAAACUUGAGUCUUAAUUAUAAGUAUACAUAAAUGCUGCAAAGCUAUUUUUCUGCCGUGUAACUCUUCUGACCUUCAUUCCACAUGCAUGGCUGGGGCCAAGCACUUUUAAGCUCCAUUGAUUUUGGUGGGAAAGAUUGAAGCAUAUGCUUAUCUCCCUCCGUGGAAUCAAUGGGGCUUAGAAGUGCUAGGUUGGGAAGGAUCAUGUCCUACAUAAAUAAUGUGUAUGUGGAGCACAAGGAAGAAAAUGCCUUACAGUUCUCUGACAGCAAAUAGAAGGGCUCCAUGCCUGUCGUACAAAGCUCCGCUGACAGAUCCAUGCCCAUCUUUCAUUAGCUUCAAAUAAAGAAAUAUUGUUCUGGUCUCCAAUAUUAUUUCACAUGGCAUGGGCACAUACUGUAACGAGUUUGUGUGCUAGGAUUGGUGCUUUACAAUUCUUGCACGACCAUUGUGCCAAAAAACCUGAAGACAUAGCUUACAAGGCAUUUUAAACAUUUUUUUAUAUACAUUCAUGUGGCAUGUGGAGGCAUACAUUCUGUGCCUCCAGGUGUUUGUUGUCAGCAUGUUUAUCCUUGACCAGCAAUCCCUUUCUUUGACUAGCAUCAUAAGCCUAACCAUGACUACUCAAAAGAAAAUCCUUUUGAACACAACGGGACUUACUCCCAGGUAAGUUGAGUUCAGAUUGCAGCCUCAGUAAAGUUACAGCACCCCUGUUUUUCGUCUUUGGAUAUCACAAAUUAAAUGUUUUUAAUUCAGAACUAGUGUGGGGCAAGCCCAUAUAGAUGCUUACAUAGAAGCAGACAUAUUUUUUGAGUAGGAUUGCCUUGUUAAGCUCUUUAUAUAUUGGUUGCCCUGAUACUAACUGGAAAGCACCAAUUUAGCAUGGUUCUGCCUGGGAAUGGGCCAAGGAGGAAUGAAUGCCUGCUCCGACUCCUGAAUUAGUAGCAGGCCCCUCCCACUUUUACACACUGUCACUUCAGUACAUGUGUUGCUAUCCUCUGCCACAUGACAUACAAAAUCAGAAGAAUGGACUCCUCAAGGACCUUUUCUGAUUCUGGCUUAGCCCCUUCAGCAUUUAUAAUGAAGUCACCACACGCAAUGCUGUCACAAUUAAUGCAGGGAGUGAUGGGACUGCACCAAACCUGAGAACAAGAUCCCAUGGAACACUAACCUUAUUAAAUGUAUGGGGUGGUCGAGAGGUCUUUUCCACCUUCAGACCAUAUAUGUGGACUAGCUGAUCCAUGGGGUCCCUUCCCAUUCUACAGUACUCUAAUUCUAUGAAGACAUUCAUUUUAGUACAGGACUCUUUGCACCCAUCUUUACAUCCGAGCUUUACUUGAUCUCAAGUUUUAGAAAAGCACCGCUCAUGCUCACAGUGGCGAGAUGUUUCAUCAUCACAUGGGCGUUCUAGCAAGCAUUGCUGACAUGUAAGCAUUUGUUUGUAGAAAGGGACCCACAUCUCAGCGAGCUUAAAAUAAGUUUGAAGUGUGGGAGGGAAAGACUCAUUGACCACUAUAAAGUGAGGGCAACGCUACAAAAUGUCUUCAGCUUGUUCACUGGCCUCUUUUGUAUGUCAUUUCAGUAUACCCCACCCAGUGCUUUUUUUUCUAAAAAAAAAAUGUUCAGGGGUACUCUCGUUUUCCUACUCAUAUUGAAAUACUGCCCCUCAAUGAGGUCAAACUUAGAUUCACAAAAUGUUUAGGGGUAUGCGUACCCCUGCGUCCCCCCAGAAAAAAGCACUGCCCCCACCUGACCCCACAAAUUUCCUAAAAGGAGGGCUCAAAAGCUCCAGUGAAUACUGGCACAGAAAACAAUAGGGCAAUUUUAAAAUAAAUAAAAAAAAUUAGGGAAGCUAUGUUGACUGAAACAUUUUAGUCAACGAAGCAUCCUCCACAGUUUUACAGGACUUAGCAUCCGUUUCUGGCCCCCACCCCCACCUGUGUGCCUUGUAAAUAUGGUAUGCCUCCUCAAAGCCAGAAGAAUGUGCCCUGCCAUUAUCAACCUCCGUAAGGAAAAAAGAGAGAUGUCAUGUAGAAUUUGCCGGGACUCAAAGCAAUCAAAAACAUACAUGAAUUGAUAGAGACGGAUCUUAGCAACAAGCUGUGGAGACUAGGAAGUCUCACUGGCAGAAUGUAGUAGGUGAUUUGAUAGGCUCUCGUUUGGUAUCCAUUUUGCAUUAACAACUCAGAGGCAGCUUGGAUUUGACAGCUCUUUUGUAGCCUCUUAAUACAGCUGCGAAACCCCAAAUGCAGCUCUGUGUCUUGAAUAUCAAUCAGACACAACCAUUUUCAGAAAUAACAUUUACUUCUUAUUACAGGAAAUGCCUCUUUCCCAGCUACAGUGCCACUACCCUGGAACUAGUAGUACUGGGCAUAUUUUGAAAAGAAUAAUAUAGCUGUAACUGACUGAAGCAGCACUAAAGAUUUAGGGUUAUCUGUUUGAGCAGCCACAGAAAGGGACAGGGGCAGAAUUAAUCAUAUUUCUUUAAACCACUAGUUUAGUAGAAUUGCAACAGGCAUGCUGAUAAUGAAAUUAAAUUCUAAACUAUUAUAAUAAAUUUUUGGAGAAUCAGAAUCAGAGCAGUGUUGGGGGGGGGAGGGAUUGUUUAACCCUCUCUUCCAUGAGAUAUUUCCUGAUCUACCUCUCACCUCCAAAGAAACUGCUAUAAAAAUCACAGGGGGAAAGAUGAAUGGGCAUAGCCAGGAUUUUUGUUGGGGGGGGCAGAACCUCAGUUUGCUAUGUAUUUUUAAUUUAUUUUUAUUUAUUUUGAGUGCAACUGCCCCCCCUUUGCUAUACCCAUAGAAAGAUACACAUGUACCUACAUUUCCCCUUCCAAAUGAUCAGAAACAUGUGCUUGAAGUUAACCAUUACUCACUUCUUAAGUUGGUUUUAAUGCAACAUUUAUCGUUUGAGUUGGCUUCAGGCCAUGAUCUUUAGCACGCAUGUCAUUUUAAAGGAACAAGGAAUAUGAUAUCACAGUUAUGUACUUUGGAUUCUACGCUCGCCCAUGCCACUUAAAACAUUAUAUUCAAAGUCUCAAGGUGAGAUGGUAAGCAAGCCUGAGAUGUGAUGCUGAUUCUAUCCCGCUUCCUUCCAUAUUCUUACUGCAAACACGCAGGCUGUCAGGUCGAUCAUAACCAUAGUAUAGGAGUGGGGGGUAACACUUUCCACAUCACACUUUUCCAAAUCACCUGCCUCCACCCCCACCCCCGUUUUAUCCACAGGAGAAAACUAGUACGUACUCCUUGUUCCAAGGCCUCCCAUGUUUCCGUUGGCCUGCUCCCUGGCUCUGAUGCUUGCUUGUUUCCUGGCUCAUCUCAGACAGCCGCCUACAGCUCAGCCCCUUGACUCUCACAAACGAAAUGAUGAAUGGUCAAGUUAACCAAAGGUCUCACUUCCCUUGGCCAAGGAACAAUCAUAGGGCCACCAUACGCCCCAGAUAUUACACUUUUGGGGUGUCCUGGUUUUUAUUUUUUGAAAUAUGGCAACCCUAAACUUCUGCACACAAUGAAAAAAACAUUUUUUCACCUUCCCUCAUUUCCAGCUGCACCUGGGGAAGAUAUAGAUCAUGGAUUAUUUAAUUUCUAUACCGCUUAAUAUACCGUAUUUUUCACUCUAUAAGACGCACCAGACCACAAGACGCACCUAGUUUUUGGAGGAGGAAAACAAGAAAAAAAUAUUCUGAAUCUCAGAAGCCAGAACAACAAGAGGAAUCGCUGCAAAGUGAAAGCAGCAAUCCCUCUUGCUGUUCUGGCUUCUGGGAUAGCUGUGCAGCCUGCAUUCGCUCCAUAAGACGCACACACAUUUCCCCUUACUUUUUAGGAGGGGAAAAGUGAGUCUUAUAGAGCAAAAAAUACGGUAUUUAAAAUAUCGCUAAGUAGUAUAGACAGGUGAAAAAGAGGGCAGGGCUCCUGAAGGUUUAAUAAUUGUUUCAGGAGGUAUAAUUUGUAAUCAUUCCCUUUCCCAUGCACCUGUAAAAACCGUAGGACUCCUGUUUUCUUUUUCGCCUGGCUACCCUAAUGGAUAUGCUAGUGAUUUUGUUUCUCUGCUGUGCACAGUGUUUGAGGCUACUGCUGUUUAACGUACCAUGUGUGCCAACUUACGAAAGCAUAAUUCUAAUUUGACCCAAUGAAUUCUUAAAUGCUGGAAGGCAGGCCUGUAUCCAAUAAAACUAGCCAGCCCUUUGGUGCUCCCAAAUAUGCCAUGUACUUGGCCUUCUAAAUUACCCAUCACUGGCUGAUCAGAUUGGAAAAUAAAUGCGCAUUUGCAGCACCGAGCAGACAUUUUAAUAGCCAAGCAGCCUAGGUAUGGAUGACUGCCCAAAACAACACAUUGUUAAUGCAAGUGGAACCAAAACUGGGGGGGGGGGGUAUUAAGAUCUUGGCACUGGGGCCUGUAGGUAGGAAAUGAGGAUGAAGAGCCCCACAACAGACUGUAUUUGGCUUUUCCAGAACAGCCUUAAUUCCAAGAAGUGGUGUGUAAUGAUGGGAAUCUGAGAGAUGAUUCAUGUUUGUUUUAUGAGAUGCUGUUUACUGCAGCAUGCAGUCUGUAUCUUUAUUACGCAGUUAGAGCGAUUGGAUGGCUAGAUCUGGCAGAAUGCUGUACUCACAGUCCACUGCUCUUCACCCAAUUUCAGGAUUUAGUGUUGCUGGGAGGAGCAGGGGCUUGUCUGUUUGGGGAUAGGGAGCAGCAGUGCAGAGUGCAAGCUGGUCCCUUGGGGAGUGCCAGGAAAGAAGAAAGGCCUGGGGCAUGACGGAUUGCAGAGCUGGGACAUCCUCUCGAUGUCAGAAAGCAAAUGCCCAAAGAGGAAAGGAGUGGGUUGAAAGCAAGGAAGAAGAAGAAGAAGAAGAGUUUGGAUUUGAUAUCCUGCUUUAUCACUACCCUUAGGAGUCUCAAAGCGGCUAACAUUCUCCUUUCCCUUCCUCCCCCACAACAAAUACUCUGUGAGGUGAGUGAGGUUGAGAGACUUCAGAGAAGUGUGACUAGCCCAAGGUCACCCAGCAGCUGCAUGUGGAGGAGCAGGGAAUCGAACCUGGUUCACCAGAUUACGAGUCCACUGCUCUUAACCACUACACCACACUGGCUCUCUGGAAGGUGCAUCCAAGAAAAAAAUUCUCAUAAUAUCCAGGGGGGCAGGGAAAGGAGAAGAAAGUCAGGUAAAGGAAGAAGUUGGGGCCCCUUAAUUUCUGUUCUGAUCCCAAACGGUUCACAUACACAUGGUUUUGACUUGCUUUUACAUUUAUCUGCUCUAAUGGUCCCAGCCACUUCUUCAUUCGAGCUCGUGCAGAUGCAACAUGGCAAACAACAAGCCAGAGGAAAAGCAUUCACCUGAAAUUACUGCCUUUGUAAGCAGCGAAGCAUAUAUAAGCGGCUUACGGAAUGAAAGCAUGUUUGAAAGCCAAAAUACCAAGUUACUGUUGGGCAAUGAAAGAUUCGUGUGUGUUUCCCACCCCCGAUUCUGAACCCACACUUGUCUGUACAUACAAAAUGGCUGGACCUCUGCCAAUGUUGCAUUUAUUUACUAUCGAAAUGCAGCCGCACUGUGGGAAGGCAGGUCUGGCCGAGAAACAGAACCGAUGUUGCAAUGUGGAUUUGAGUUGUUUGCAAUUUCAUCUGCUGCGAAGGCAAGAUGAGAGAAACACACCCAAGAAUAUUCUCAGGAAGGCAGGAGACCCCCCCCCCAAAAAAAAACCACCCUUAGCAAAGGAACAAAUGGGUUGAGGAGGAUUAGCUCCUUUAGCCCAAGCUAUGCAGUUACCCUGUACAGUGGUACUUCAGGUUAAGUACUUAAUUCGUUCCGGAGGUCCGUUCUUAGCCUGAAACUGUUCUUAACCUGAAGCACCACUUUAGCUAAUGGGGCCUCCUGCUGCCGCCGUGCUGCCAGAGCACGAUUUCUAUUCUCAUCCUGAAGCAAAGUUCUUAACCCGAGGUACUAUUUCUGGGUUAGCGGAGUCUGUAACCUGAAGCGUAUGUAACCCGAGGUACCACUGUACAAUAAAUAUAUUUGGGGGCUCAUGCCCAUAUAUGGGCAUGGGGAUAUGAGAAGGGGUACCUGGUCCACACCCCCUUGUCCCCUCUUCAAAGGUGCUCUUCCAUAAAACAAAGCAUGAACCCAAAUCUCAAGCGCCACAGAUCUCUCCAUCUGUACAAGCAGGGGAGCUUACCAGACAUCAUUGCUUUUUGCCUUAUUGCUGAAAUCCCUCUCUUGGCGGGCAAAGAGAAAACAAAACAAUCUGAGCUAAUGGAUUUGUAACAGAUAUCAACAGCAAACCACUUGGUCAUUCCAUUUUCUUCCUUUCACUCUCAAGAGGAUCCGAAAUGGGUAAAUGCUAGUAUCAGUCUGCAAGCUAUUUUUAAUGAAAAUGGAGGCACUUUUGUCUAAAGGUUUCCAGGAAGUGGAUGCUGAAAGAAUCCUAGGCUGCAUCUCCACCCCCCAAAAAGGAAAGAAUCCUGGGAACUGUAGUCUGUUUAGGGUGCAGGGAACUGUAGCUUUUUGAGGGCUAAACUACAGUUCCCAGGAUGAGAGAGAGAGAGAGAGAGAGAAUGAGAGUGCGCCCAAUCACAAUGGAACAAACCACCUAGAGUCAGCUAACCAGGUCCUUCUCUGAAACUGUUCCUUCUCUUGGAAGGCAAAGCUGCAAGUGAGAAGCAGGCUUUGCAAGGGUGUUUUGUACUGCAAAUAGCUGUCUUGCAGAAGGCUUGCCACUGUUUUGUCUUUUUAACAGAAAGUAGCUCACACCCCAGCCAAAAUCCCUCCCCUGUUGCAAAAUAAAUUAUUAUUAUUAUUAUUAUUUGAAUUUAUAUACCGCCCUAUACCUGGAGGUCUCAGGGUGGUUCACAGAAUAAAAUCAAAAUAGAAAGCCAUAAAAUACAUAAUCAAAAUAAAAGCAACAACCCAAUAGCCCACAAAAGAUUAUAAGCUCACUGGGCUAGUGGCUGGUGGCUGGUCUGUUGUUUAUUAACAUGGAUAGUACUAUUAAAAAUAACCAGGACUUUUUUUCUGCCAGAACUCGCCAGAACUCAGUUCCGGCACCUCUCAAGAGGGUGCCAUUGCCAUUCUAAGAGAAUGAAGGAGGUGUUCAUGGUGAGUUCCGACACCUCUUUUUCUACAAAAAUAGCACUAAUUAUAAUUAUAAUCAGUGCUUUCUUUUAAAAAAAAAUAUGUUUAGGGGUUCUCUCAUUUUCCUACUCAUAUUGAAAUACUGCCCCUCAAUGAGGCCAAACGUAGAUUCACAAAAUGUUUAGGGAUAUGCAUACCCCUGCGUCCCCCCAGAAAAAAGCACUGAUUAUAAUACGAUUUCAAGGUAGCAAAAGAUCUGAGCGCCAUCCUUUUGGGAAAUCUCAAGCAGCUAUCAUUUGUGCAAUUCUAAGCAGGAACAGCACGAAACAAAUGACCAAAUCCAAAAGCAGACCACAUGCGGUGAAUUAACAUUAAGAAGCAACAGCAGUGAGCUAACCUUCAGUGCAGACAUACUUUAGUUCACUUCCAAAGUACUGUCUGAAGCGCCUUUCAGAUGUUUGAAUAAAGCAAGAUCAAUACGGUAGGUGGGUGGCGCGGGGGAGGGACCAGGGAAGGUGUCAUCACAACAUCAAACUCUUUAUAUUAAUCUCCCAGUCUGAAACAAGCCUUUGUGUACAUACUUCCACCUCUACAAUUCUAUGACUCAUAUAACUUCUGCAUGCAGUGGAGAGAGUCCUAGUACUAAGAAAAUUUAAGGGCAGGGGGAGUUAGCAGUGCACACAUUGUGGUAGUAACAGGUGGGUGGGUGUUUAGUAUGUAUGAGCUUUGUGCUGUUCCAAAAGCCAGGCUUCUGUAAAUAACCCCACCAAAGGUUUUAGGGAGGAUUAAAUUUUGGGGUUAAUACUAGGUCAGACAUCCCAGCCAGUGACCGAGAUAAGGAAAUGACAUUGUUCUAAAACUAAUCACAUCGCUCUGCACCCUCCCCUAGUUCUGUACGCAGCCGCUGUCUCUUGCUUUUCCCCUUUAUCUCAAGCCUCUGGGUGGCUGCAGGGUUUUCACUAUCAGCGAUGAUAAGCAGGAAGAAAACAGCUGAGAUUGUUUAGACGUCAUUGCGUGGUGGGGCUCCCUCCCCCGCCCCACCUACAAAUGUCCAUAUAUUCACUGGAAUCUGUAGUUCAGAAUGAAAAACUGCACAUUCGUAGAUGAGUUCAGGGCCCAAUUGUGUAAUGUCUUGGUUUUACUUUUUAGCAGGUGGUGAUCAGGGUUGGGACCACAACAUGUGGAGAGGUGGCUUAAACCUUCUCCCUUGUAUCUUGGUGCUGGUGAAAAUCUCUCCCCACUCCUGCCGCCAUUUCCAUUAGAGGGUGUGUGCGUGUGCGUGUGUGGCUGCCAUGGUUCCAGUGAGAGUCCCCUCUCUCUUGUGCAAAUAGCAGCUGGGGAGGGGGCAUAUUUUCACUGAGGCUGUGAUCAUCGCUCACAGUUGCAUAAAUGCUUCUCCCCCUCUCCAUUUUAUCCCCACAACAACCCUGUUAUGUAUUUUAGACUGCGAGAGUGAUUGGCCCAAGUGACCUUCAUGGCUGGGUCAGGAUUUGAACCCUGGUCUCCCCUAUCUUCCAACCGCUACACUACACUGGUUCUCAUUAAAGACCAACUGUCCAUGUGUCAUGGUCCUGAUUUUAUCUCUCACCCCCCCGCCCCCGUUAUUCUUUUUUUAUUUUAAAAAGUUGUUUAUUGGGUUUUUCAGAUUAAAAUUUUACAGUCACAUGUCCAACAUACAACAUAAAAACAAUAUUCCAAAGAGUCUCUUGGACUUCCCUCCUCCCCUCUGUGCGUCCUGUUGUUAAUCAUUUCUUCCUGCAUCUUUUAUAAUAAUCCUAUUUUUUUAUCUCUCCAUUGUAUCCAAAAUUCACCAUUAAAACUACAAGUGAUAUUCCAAUCCUACUAACGAUUUUAACCAUUUACAAUGGUCUUUAGGAUAAGUUAUAAAUUUUCCCCAUUCCUUAUUUAAAAUGUGGUCUUUCAGAUUUCUGAUUCUUCUGGUCAUUAUAGUCAUUUUGGCACAAUCCAUCAAUUUGAUCUGCCAUUCUUCUCUGGUAGUGACUUUAUCUUUCUAUCUCUGGGUCAAUAACAUCCACGCAGCCCUGGUCGCAUACAUAAAUAUUCUUUUCUGCUCUCUUGGGAUUUCGACACCUCAAACCUGUUAUUCUUAAAGUAAAAGCCCACAUGUGAAAUGCAUGUAUCUCUUUAACCCAGAGCUUUCUGAACUGUGUGUAGCGACACAUUGGUGUGUCGACUGCAGUGUGUAGGUGUGUCAAGAGAACACUCUCUGUUAUCCUCUCAGGGCUGAAAAGGGGCUAGUUUAACCUCAAGUUUGCUAGUAAAACUGAAUUACCAUGUCACGAAAUGAUGUAUGUCUAAAAAGUGUGCCACCAACAUGAAAAGUUUGGAAAGCUCUGCUUUAACAUGUCAUCCAGUUUGGCUAUCCGCCCAGUAGGGUGUUAGGUUGUGUUGGCUUUGCAAGAAUCAAGCAGAGCAACUAUAUACGAGGCAGAAUCAGGCCAGACAUAGUAAAUCAACAGCAAGUAACUCUAUGUUACUUUAUUUUCUGAAAUGCCAGUCCCUCAAAGCCCAUUGUUGUGACCCGACAAUAAAAUAAUGUCAAAGCACCUACCGUAUUUUUCGCUCUAUAGGACGCACCAGACGAUAAGACGCAGCUAGUGGGGGGGGGGAGGAAACAAGAAUAAAACAAUUCUGAAUCCCAGAAGCCAGAACAGCAAGAGGGAUCUGGCUUCUGGGAUAGCCUCUUGCUGUUCUGGCUUCUGGGAUAGCCGCUGAAGCCUCUCCUGGGCAGCGGGAUGAAGGCUCCCCCUGCCUGGAAGAGGCUGUGCACGGGUAAGCUGCCCUCUGUACCUUCCCCCAUCUCCCGCAAGAACCGUGCGCUCUUUAAAGGGAACGCGGUUCUUGGGAGCUUUUCUGGGAUGUGGGGGAAGGGACAGAGUCGCACGCUCUGUCCCUUCCCCCAAGAGCCGCGCGAAGCCGCAGGGCACGGGGAGCCUUCAUCCCCGUGCCCUGUGGAGGCUUUGCGGGGCUAUCCAAAAACCAGAAUAGCUAAAGGGAGCACUGUGCAGCACUCUCUCUAGCUGGUCUAGCUUUGUGCAAAGCCUCUGCUGCCCUGCAGAGGCUUUGCGCUGCUAAGCCAGAAGCUAGAACAGCAAGACGGAGCGCUGCGCAGCACUCCCUCUCCCUGUUCUGGCUUCUGGCUUAGCCGCGCAGCCUGCAUUCGCUCCGUAAGACGCACACACAUUUUCCCUUACUUUUUAGGAGGGAAAAAGUGUGUCUUAUAGAGCGAAAAAUACAGUAUGUUUGCAUAGAAAGCAGCAUGGGAAAUGCUGGUUGCUGGCCUUGAGCAUGGGUAGAUUCACUAUUAAGGCUGCAAUCCUGUACAGACUUACCUGGGACUAAGCUGAGUAGGGCUUACUUCCAAGUAGACAUAUACAGAAUUGCACUAUACGACACCAACUGCAACAAAGCUAUAUUUGGCCCGAUCGCAUCCCUACGAUAUAUAGUGACCCCAUUCUGUGAGAACCCAUUGUAGCUUUGUGGCUACAAGUUCUCUCCAUUAAUAUGUGAAGCUGGCAGAUAAUGAAACAGAACUUUAUAGAUUUUUCCUCCAGGGCCAAUUUACACAUUAUUAGCUGUUUGAUUUGGGGGAUUGAUUGUUAAACCAAUCUAGAAAUUAUAGCUCUGUGAGGGGAACAGGGGGUCUCCUAAUAAAUUACAGUUUCCUGGAGUCUUUAGGAGAAACCAUGACUAUUUGACGUGGUGUGAAACUGCUUUAAAUUGGUUAUUUCAACAAGCCUUCUUAUGAAAAUGAUUCCUUGUUUUUAUAAACUUAUCUGACAACCCAUUUCUGUAUUUCUGUUUCUCUGGUGUAUUCUGCUUGAUUUUUCCUGCUAUGUUGUUUGUAUCAAUGUAUAUAUUUUGGUACACUUAAACUGUCAAAAACAGCAGUGCAGUAUUCAGUAAAGCACAAAACCUGAUUGAUAAUCCUGUCUGAUCCACAUGUUAAGUCAAAGAGGUGCAGACUGGGAUACUUCAUACUGGAAUUAAUAAAUAUCACAUUUCUCAAGCAACCCAAAGCAACAUUCCAGGUCAUUGUGUGACAUUGUCAAAACACCGUAAAGCCACGACACAUUGUAGUUGCAUUAUUGAAUGCUGACCACUAGCUUUCUGGUGUAGUAAUUUGUGACAGCCCAUAAUGCAUGAGUCAUAUAUAUUCAGAAUAAAAUGUCUUUCAAAGUUCAUGACAUUAAUCAUUAGCUGGUUAUUUAAUUUAGCAUUGACUGCAAUAUGAUUUGUAAUUACAAAAUUCCUGCUCUGAGUCAUGAAAUGCAGAAAGAGGGGGAAAUGUACAGUGGUACCUCAGGUUACAUACGCUUCAGGUUACAUACGCUUCAGGUUACAGACUCCGCUAACCCAGAAAUAGUGCUUCAGGUUAAGAACUUUGCUUCAGGAUGAGAACAGAAAUCGUGCUCCGGCGGCGCAGCAGCAGCAAGAGGCCCCAUUAGCUAAAGUGGUGCUUCAGGUUAAGAACAGUUUCAGGUUAAGAGUGGACCUCCGGAACGAAUUAAGUACUUAACCCGAGGUACCACUGUAUUAACAAAGGCAGAAUAUUUCAUCUUACAUACACAGAGUGUUUACUCCAGCACUGUAACAAUCUUCCUGCCCAGAAGUAUAUGCCUAAGACGGAUGGAUCCUUUUGAUACGUACAGAUGAACUGCUCUAAUUAUAUCCCCUGCCUGCCUUUGCUGGUUUAGAUCUUAAAAUUACUGAGCAUGAGUCUAACGAUCAAUGGCAUGCUUGACAGCUACUCCAUGUCAUAGAUCAUGGAGUAAAUCCAAUCUGGAAAAUCUCUAUUAUAUUGGCAUAAACAUCAUGGUAUCAAAGUGACUGAAAAGAAUGUUUUCAGAAAAGGACUUGUGGAGGCAGAGGGGGGUGGGGGGAGAAAGAAAGAAAGAAAGAAAGAAAGGAAGGAAGGAAGGAAGGAAGGAGGGAGGGAGGAAGCCAUGCUUUUAUUAUAGCUCAAACAGUAGGAUUUUCAAAAUCUGGGCAUUUAUAAUAUACACUACAGCUGUAGAUAUCCACUGCCUUGCAAGACAUCUUUGAAAGGAAAAAAAGCUAAGGAGUAAACCCUAUAGAAAUCCAGAGUGGAUUCCCUAAGACAGUUGGAUGGCGCCUUGUACACCUCCUUCCAGCAACUCCUGCAGCCAAGCUGAUGCCAAAUGUAUCACUCUGCUUUCCUUUGGACCACAUCUGCGAGGUUCAGAGAGGGGUUUUGUCAUCUGGGCAGCCAAGAAUUCCCAGACGCACUGCCCAGGAGAGGUCAGUGCGGGAGGCAGUUAUGAGCUGCAGGUCUUUGCAGCCACAGCGGGUGCUGUGAUUCUCCAGCAAUUUGACUUUAUUCCUGGAGGUGCUCUCCAUUGCCCCUGAGACAGAUGGAUGCCAAGAACAGCCAUAGCACAGCUCCUACUAUGUGAUGAGCUUGAUUAAGGUCAGGAUCCAGCCCCUCAUCUGUGUGGUGCUUAUUUCAGGAAUCAAAUAUGUAAGGCCAUCCUAUUAGGCUUGUCAUGUGUCCAGCAAAUUCUGGACAUGCCAGGAAAUUGGAUGUCUAAAAUGGUGUCCUGGGAAAAAUUUUGAAUUUUAAGAGAUGUCCAGAAUUUCCUGUACGUAUGGCAACCCGGGGUUUUUUUCCUGUUGUUUUCUGCUGAGCAGUGGGAGGAAUGCCCCCCUCCCCUUACGUGGGAGACCCCAAGCUUGCUUGCGCCCUGCGCAGCAGCCCCAACUGAGGAGGAGGAGGGAAGCGUGGACGAUAGAAAGAGGGCGAGAGCAGCCCCGAGCGCCUGCCAGCCAUCCAGAGACUCCGUUAUCCUACCCCUGCCUUCCUCCCCCCUCGAGAGCUGCUGUGUUACCUUCUCAAAGCUGCCGCAGCUGCUGCCUCAGGGAGGACAAUUGAUCCCAAUCCCAGCCUGCAGAGCAGGAGGCAAAAAGCCUGGCUAAAAGGGAACAGGGUGCCAGUGGCUGCUUGCUCGGGAGCAGGUCCAAAGGAACUUACCUCCUCGGUCCCACCCUCCCAAAGCAGGAAGGAGGAAACCUCAACAAGGAGUUGAGAAAUGUGUCCUCAACAACUUUGGGGAUGUCAGGGAUUUUACUUUUUGAAAUAUGGCCAGCCUAUAUUCAGGUGGCCACAGCUACUCCACAAUUUGCAUCAGAAUCACGAAAUUAAAAGACGCCUGCUUCUUGGGAGAAAAGCAAUGACAAACCUAGACAGCAUCUUAAAAAGCAGAGACAUCACCUUGCCAACAAAGGUCCGUAUAGUUAAACUAUGGUUUUCCCAGUAUUGAUGUAUGGAAGUGAGAGCUGGACCAUAAAGAAGGCUGAUCGCCGAAGAAUUUAUGCUUUUGAAUUAUGGUGCUGGAGGAGACUCUUGAGAGUCCCAUGGACUGCAAGAAGAUCAAACGUAUCCAUUCUGAAGGAAAUCAGCCCUGAGUGCUCACUGGAAGGACAGAUCGUGAAGCUGAGGCUCCAAUACUUUGGCCACCUCAUGAGAAGAGAAGACUCGCUGGAAAAUACCCUGAUGUUGGGAAAGAUUGAGGGCACAAGGAGAAGGGGACGACAGAGGACGAGAUGGUUGGACAGUGUUCUCAAAGCUACAAACAUGAGUUUGACCAAACUGCGGGAGGCAGUGGAAGAUAGGAGUGCCUGGCAUGCUCUGGUCCAUGGGGUCACGAAGAGUCGGACAUGACUAAACGACUAAACAACAACAACAACUAGAUGGGAUCCCCUGCUUCAAUCAGCACCAGCUGCAGAAGUCCAAUAAGCAGAGCACAAAGAGAAGAUGCCUUAUCUUCUGGACAGCUCCUCUUCUGCUCAGCACCAAACACUCCCCACCAACCAGCUGACACUGCUGGACAGCUCCCCAGGCACCAGCCAGACAAGGCCAAGCAACACUGAAGCCUGGCCCAUUCUCAACAGCCCUGCCAAGUCUCAGAUCAGGGGAAACAAAUGGGCUGCCUCAGUGGGCAGAGUCGCCCUUGAGCCCCUGGGACACUCUUCAGACUUCAGCCCUUGCAGUUCUCAAGGGUCCUGAAAGCUUCAUACAUUAUCCUCUUAAUGGUGUGCACAUCUAUGCAUGUACUGUCUUGUUUAAAGGCCAAGGUGCAAAACAACCUUCAGUCAUAAGGUACUAGCUGACAAUAAUAGCUGCUAUACCUUGAAAUCUGCAGACAAAAUCACACGUAGAAAGGCCAUUAUCUGGCAUGGCUGUCUUGGAGUAAUAGAUCAUUGCAGCGCAAGGACUAGGGGGCUUGUUGACUACAACCAGAAUGAUAAUAAUAAUAAUAAUAAUAAUAAUAAUAAUAAUAAUAAUAAUAAUUUUAUUUAUAUCCCGCCCUCCCCAGCCAAAGCCGGGCUCAGAGUGGCUAACAACAGUAAAAAAUACAACAUUCUAAAAUUAAUUCAAAUCAGAUUAAUGGCAGCUAUUGGGCUAGAGUUCUGUGAGGAUUGCCAAAGGAGGGGGUCAGGCUGUGCCCUGACCAAAGGCCUGGUGGAAUAGCUCUGUCUUGCAGGCCCUGCGGAAAGAUGUCAAGUCCCGCAGGGCCCUAGUCUCUUGUGACAGAGCGUAGGUAUGAGGGUCCUAGGCCGUGAUCUGAGCAGCAGCUCCAUGACUCCAUGAAGAGCAGUUGGGAUUAAGGUGAUGCUGCUGCUACAGAGGAAUACAACUACUGCAAGUAAGAAUUAUUAUUUUUUAGAGCAAAAUAGGGAACAAGGACAACUUCACAAAGGCUAAGGGCAUGGAUGUGCCUCCAAUCCAAUAAUACAUAAUGGUCAUUUCUUCUUCCUCCUUCCUGUCUAAUCCCCAAACAGCAGUUACCUGCCCCCCUGGUGAUUUGGAAAAUUUGCUGAGACAAGUUCAAAGUGAAUAAGGAAGGGGCUGACUUAUGGAUGAGAUGGGACAAAAAAUAUGAAGGGGGGAAAAAAGAAAUUUAAGCUAAGCAAACCUCACCAUCUGUCUCGUAAUUCUGUGCAUUAUGCGACUGACAGAAAAACUCACAGUAUGAUUCAUGUGGGAAUAAAGCAGUGGCAGAUUUCCAGAUCUUCUGCAUCUGGAAACCCUUUACAUUGUUAUCAAAAUAUUUAAUAAACAGUCAGACAUAUUUAGGGAACAAAACUUUUGAGGGUAUAUUUUGCAUUAAUAUAUUGCUACUCACUAGAUGUUUUAUGAGUUCUGAAGGUCAGUGGAAGGUGUGAGUGCCCUUGAUGACAAUGAAUGCAAGUUUCUGGUCUAGCCUUGCAUGGUAACAUUACAAAUAGUGAUAGGAAUUAAGUUUCUAAAUCCUAUGUUUUGCCUUUGAUAUACUUAGGUGGUCAGAUUGCUGUACGAAAGUCAGGUAUGGCUUCCAGGCCGCUCUCAAGUCUGGCUCUUGAGUGAGAUUGAUGUUUCUUCAUUCCUUUAAAAACCUUUAUAUUUUGCCUUUCCAAAUAAAAAUUCCUCCACGGCUGCUUGCAUAUUAAGAUCAACUGUAACAGGAUAAAAUAGCCCCCAGCCUGAAACUUCCAAAUUCAAAUAACUGAUUCCAUAAAAGAGUUAAUAAAACCAGCAGUAAAAGAUCCAUAGAGUUGAAUAACAUGCCCUAUCUGAAAGCCUCCAGAAAUAGCUGUCCAAAAAUAGUGGAAUGUGGUGGACUUCUGGCUGUCAGCUGGUAAGAAGUUCCAGAAGUGUGGGGACACCACAGAAAAAGCCUUCUCUCUUCUGGGCCUUGAACAUGCCUUCAAGGCUGUUAUUCAUUGCAUCUUCCUGAAUGGCAUGGUCAGGAGAGGGGCUGGAAGAAAACAGACUGUUUUGAAUAACUUUGCUUAUCGUAAAAAGUCUGACCUGGGGGGGGGGGAUGGAUUUGUUGUGGAAGAGUUCCAAAUCAGCUUUAAUUGCACAACCUGAAUUUGCCCAUGUGUGAUUAAAUCCCACCUAAAAACAGCAACACUCUGGAACAACCACAGUUAGCAAUUCCCAUGGGUGGGAAUGUGUUUGAAAAGGCAACCAUAGAGGCUGGCUAGAGUGGCAGUCCCAGCUUCCCUUUCCUGUUCUUCUUUGGUUUUGUCCAAAUUUCUUUGCACCUACUUCUUAUAUAUUUGUCCCAUUUCCCCCGCCGCCCCUGCCCCCGGCAGUGCUAGUGAUUUCUGGCAAAUUUUAGCACAGGGGGAAAAAUGCUUCAGCUAUCAAAAACAUGGGAAACACAUGUAGUGAGCUAACAACCAGAGCAUAAAUGGGAAAAAAGAGGUGUUAUAUAGCUGUUAUAGGAACUAUACUGAUUAUGGGUUGCAGCCAAUGCUGUUUCAUCUUUGUAUCUUCAGACUGUAAGAACAUUUGUUGUCCCAUUCCUUUCUAGUGCGCCAUUUUAGUGCCGAAAUAUUUGAAAUUGACAGUAACUUUCUCAUCGACCCUCUCUGUUCUUUUCCUCCCCAGCCUAAUUACACGCUUUUAACGUUACUGAGCAAUUACUUUCAUGGAAAAUUGGGUGCACUUUUUGAUGAUAUCUGCGCUACUCAUCGAACAUUAGGUAACUUCAUGUUGCAAUUAGGAUCACUUUCACUCUACUCAGACUGAAAUUCCAUCAUCUCUCCUCAAGCUUGUGUUAUCUACACUUGAAAUGAAAACUGGGUUGUGUGUUUCUGACCUCAAGAAGAGAAGCCAAAAUCACAUCCCCAGUCCAGGUAUCCAGUAGCAGUUGAUGGUAGUGAUUCAUUAAUUUAUUAUUGGGACUACAGGAUAAGCUAAGGGAUUAUGUUUUUCUGUUUUUUUGUUUACUGGGCCUAGUUUUUGUUCCGUGUUAGUCAGUGUGGACUAAGUGAAGCAACAAGGAGAUAAGGAGAAGCAAUGGUCUCAUUUGGGAUAAGGCAGGGAUGGGAGAUCUCAGCCCACCAGGGGUUCCACUUUGGCCCAUGGGGUCUUUUUUAAAGAACCACACUCACCUGUCAAUCAACUGAGACCACUAGAUGGGCAAGAGGCAGAAUUCAGUUCUGCUGAGUUUAGCUGUGCUGUUGAUCCCUGCAGAAAGUAGGAUUGAACCCACCUACUCAUCAGCUGAUUGUGAGAGGGGGGUUAAAUCCUGCCGGGUUGGCUGCAUGAGCUAGUUCUCCGCCGUGAACUCCCACCCAUAGCUCAACCUUGCAGUAAGCAGGAUUUAACCCCCUGCCCUUCAGCUGAUGAGAGGAAGUUCAAAUCCUUCUCCAGAGCUACCUCCCCAACUUUGCCAGGUGGGUGGAACCACCCACCUGUCAAUCAUCUGAUGCCAUCGUUUCUGGGGGGAGAAAAUGAUCUGCUUCCCCGUGCCAAAAGGGUUCUCUGCUCCAGGUAGAAAGCAACUUCUUAUGUUCCACUGCAACAAUGGGGCCCAUUCCCAUAAUUUUGACAUUUCCAAAAUGGUUGCUUUAGAGCAGUGAUGGCCAAACUUGGCCCUCUAGCUGUUUUUGGACUACAACUCCCAUCAUGCCUAGCUAACAGGACCAGUGGUCAGGGAUGAUGGGAAUUGUAGUCCCAAAACAGCUGGCGGGCCAAGUUUGGCCAUCACUGCUUUAGAGGAAACUAUAGGAAAGUAUAAUAAUGCAACAUAAUAAUGCAAGGAAUGAAUAAUAAUGAAGGAAGUAUAAAUGAGAUAAAAAUGAAGGAAGUAUAAUAAUUGCACAUAAUAAUGCAAGGAAUGAAGAGGUUCUGUAUACAUGUACACUACAGUGGUGCCUCGCAAGACGAAAUUAAUUCGUUCCGCGAGUUUUGUCGUCUUGCGAUUUUUUUCGUCUUGCGAAGCAUGGUGUCGGGAAAGUUUUGGAAAAGCUUCAAAAAUCACCAAAGUCUUUAAAAACCUCUAAAAAGGCUACUAUGUACACUGCGUUCUAUGAGUUGCUCCUCGAAGUCAAGUCGCAACUGUAUUAACGGUGUUAAGAAAAAGGAAACAAACUUGCAAGAUGUUUCCGUCUUGCGAAGCAAGCCCAUAGGGAAAAUCGUCUUGCGAAGCAGCUCAAAAAACGAAAAACCCUUUCGUCUAGCGAGUUUUUCGUCUUGCGAGGCAUUCGUCUUGCGAGGCACCACUGUAUCCACAAAAUGUGUGUGUGUGUGUGUGUGCAGAAUGAAUUCCAAACAAAGCAAGAUGUUCAUGACUUUUGGUUUAUACAGUACAGCUCAGUACUGACUCUCCAGGUUUUUAGGUAGGGGGCAUUCCCAGCCCUAACAGGAGAUGCCAGGGAUUGAAUUUACUAUCUUCUGCAUGAAAAUCAGAUGCUUCACCCUAAGCUAAAACCCAAGCAGCAGUUAUUGGGACAUAGAUAUGGACGCAAUGUAUUGUUGCAUGUUCUUUUCAAAUGCAAAAUGGGUUCUCUCUUGUUUUUCCCCACGCAAGAGCUCUCUUUGCUUGCAGCUUUGCAGUAAAGAUAACUGCAAUUUACUCAGAGUGCAACCAAAAGCAACAGUAUCCAACAAUAUUUUUUUAGACCUAAUAGCUAAGAAGAAAGUUACUGUAUGUUGAAAUACCCAGUAAUCUUGGUGCUGAUUUCUGCACACUUGUCUAUGGUACAUAUAUGGAAAACACCACCGUACAGAAUUUGGACCUGAUGCUUUGUACAAGAACAUCUGGAAUAUUGCUAUUUUGGAAAAAGAGAUACUCCAUAUUCGAAUGUUGCAAGGCACAGCUACACCAGAUAUUUUAUUUUAUUUUUUUCCCCCAGGAAUAAAUGCCACUUGUAACAAGUUACACCAGCUUCCCAUGUGAUCUGGAACUCUUGAUUUAUUGUAUUCUGUGGCAAAAGAAAAGUUAUGUGAUUUGUCCCAAUGGUUCCUUAUUCUCUCUCCCCACCCCACCCCUUUGUAAUACAUUUUUCUUACAUUCAAAUCAUUUUUUAAAAAAUUAAGAAAAUAUUAUAUUCAUAACUGAGCAGGGAAUAAUAAACAGAAACAUUUGCAAAAAUAAGCAGUAGGUUUUAAUACAAUUAGCUGCCUUAACAGCAAACUGUAAAGACAAUUUGCAUAGCAAGACCAUUUUCAGAAUAUCUACAUGCCUCGUCGUUCUGGGCUUCUCAUUAAGCGGAAAUGCAGUUUCAAUCUAAAGUGUUUAUUAAUAAUACUCAUAUUGUGGAGCAAAACGCACCAUAGGACAAAUAUUAAAAGAAAACCAUUUGAUUUUGCUUCCUUGCUUGAAAGAGUAAGCCUUUAGCAGCUCGCCCUCUGCUGGCUGCAGAGCGAAAUGAGCUGGAGCAGCAACAAUAAAUGAAGAACGGUAUGGUUGGAAAGCUGAAAAGAAGAAAAUAACAAUCUGCAAAACUGUCCCAAAGUGAAAUGGAAAAGCUAACAAGCAACCCAGGUGUGGAGGAUGUUGAUUAGGGAGAGGCCAUAGCUCAGUGGAAGAACAUCGGCUUUGCAUCCAGAAGAUCCUGGGUUCAAGUCCUGCUAUCUCCGGGGUGGGCUGUCAGAGAUGCCUGCCAGAAGCCCUAUAAAGCCAGAGCCAAUCACUGCAGACAAUACUGGCCUAGACAGGCCAAUGGUUUGGCUCAUUGUAAGGCAGCCCCCUGUGUUUUUAUUCCACCUUCCAUAUCUUCUUUCAGAGAGGCAGUAUGAUGUAGUAAUAUAAAGGAAAAAUAUAGCUGAACAGAAAUUUUGAUCCAGGCCUCACUGGUGCAAGUUGCGGCACAAUAGCUCAGUUGGUGAGAGCGUGGUGCUGAUAACAUCAAGGUUGCAGGUUUGAUUCCCAUAUGGGACAGCUGCAUAUUCCUGUGUUUCAGAGGGUUGGACUAUGUUAUGUACUGAGUUGAAUAGGAUCCAAAAAGCAGCAGUCUGAUUGGUCCUAGAACAAUGUAGCAGUAUGAUUGGUCCGCAGGAGCCACCCAAUCCAGCUCCAGGUGGAAGUGAAUCCGCAACCUGAUUGGCCCACGGGAGAAUCCUGGAAUUAGCCAAUCACGUGCGGCCCAUUGUGUAAAUAAUGUAUAUAAAGCAGAUAUUUGGGGAGAACUUUCAUUCCUCACUACUAUGAGCUGAAUAAAGAGCAUGAAAUCCACACUCGACUCCGAGUAUAUUUCAGGCUAGAUGAUCCUCAGUGUCACCUCCAACUCUACAAUUCUAUGAUUUGAAGUUCAUUUACUUUAGCAAAAGUUCACUUCGCCACAUUGCUUCUCUGUGUGGGUUUCAUGAAGCAAAACAAAGGUGUGCAGGUUAUGGCCAAUUUGGAAAUUUGCUGUUGACUCUGUUGUGGCUAACUAGCUUUGGAGCUCUUAGAAAAUCCACAAUUAAUAAGUCUUUUAAACAGGUUUGAGUGGACCUAGCCACUCCUGUGGAGAACUUGGAUUUUUAAGAAUAUGAAACUUUGAAGCAGUUCCUGUUUUAGAGCAAGUUGACCAUCGAACCUGGAAGCCUGUACAGCGCUUGGAAUUUAGGGCAGCUGCAAGCUAUAGAGUUGUUUUUCUUUGUAAACCAGCACUCUGAUAGUGUACUAAUUAUUGUUCAAUUGUUUUACUGGCACAGAUUUUCGUAGUUUUUUUUUCUAUGCAGUAUCUACUUUGUAUACUUCGCUUUCUAUAGAGUAUCUAUUACAAUGAAUAGGCCCCUCAUCCCAUACUUUUCAUAAGCCCAUGUCUGAUGCCAUAAUAUCCCAUACAUUAUCUGCCAGUUUGUGAUAUUUAUUUGGUGAAUACUGUAUCACUCCUCAGGAGUGGCGCUCCCUGAGCAAUCUUGAGCAAGUUUCUCUCACUCUCCCUGGGCAACCUUUCUGCACAACCGUGAUAGGUCUGGAAGCCUUUUGAAAGGAAUACCUCUGCUCACUCAGAGAUAUAUUUACAGUCUUUAUUUACAUACAGUGGUACCUGGGGUUAAGUACUUAAUUCGUUCCGGAGGUCCGUUCUUAACCUGAAACUGUUCUUAACCUGAAGCACCACUUUAGCUAAUGGGGCCUCCUGCUGCUGCCGCGCCGCCAGAGCAUGAUUUCUGUUCUCAUCCUGAAGCAAAGUUCUUAACCUGAAGCACUAUUUCUGGGUUAGCGGAGUCUGUAACCUUAAGCGUAUGUAACCUGAAGCAUAUGUAUCCUGAGGUACCACUGUACAUAUGUACAAGGUACAGAACAUAGCUUCAUGCGUCCGAAUCCUCGGCAGCAGAUCCAGGAAGUGGGAGCUUUCUGCUCCUCCGCCAGCAGAGGAGCUUGGGAAGGCCCAAGCGCCUCCUUUGUUCCCUAUGUUUUAACCCCCUCCUGUCCUGUGCUGAAGGAAUGGGCAUUGAAUCUCCCUCUGUCCCCGAACUAGUCGAGUGGUGUUGCUGCUCUCCAGCAUCCGGGAGUGUCCUUGCUGCAUGAAUUCCUUCCCCUUGCUUGUCCUCCUCUCCCUCUCCUGUCUUUUCUAAAGGCUCCUGUUCUUCCCCCUCCCUCAGCUCUGGGGCAUUCCCUGGCAGCCCCGCAACAACAACUUGGCCAACUCAAGAUUGCUGCCUGAAGCAAAAGAGAAGAUUACCCGCUCCAUUCCACAUACAACCAUAUAUUGCAGCCUUUUAGUCCCCAAGGCUUAGUCAGUACAGCAUCUUAAUCUCAGGGUAAUGAUUUUGAGCCCCACAUUGGGCAAAAGAUUCCUGCAUUACAGGGGGAGGACUAGAUGACUCCCAUGGUCCCUUCCUAUUCUACAAUAUUCUAUGAUUUUGAAGUCCCAGUCAGGCAAGAGAAACAUGGAGGGCUGUUGACCCUUGGGCUGGGCCGCCAUCUGUCGUUAAAAUUCUUCUCAAUAUUGAUCCAGAGUAGAUUCCAAUAUAUAGUUAGCACAGUAAAAACUUACACAUAUUGCAGGCUUCCCAAAAAUAGACCAGAGGCAAUUAAUAUUUCAUCCAGCAGAGCUUUACUGCUACCGAAGGCAAAUGAGCAUAAUGGCUACAAAUCCAAUACGUUCAGGAUUGGCACUGUCCAUAAGAAAUCCAGAUGCAGCAUAAACUUAACACGAAGCAUACUAUGUACAGAACACCACAUCAGAAGGAAGAGAUAGAAAAAGAGAGUGAAACCCAUGCUUCUUCUGACCUAUUUUUAUAGUCAGCAUGACCUUGACAGAAUAUAACAGAACCAGUUCAAGCCAGCUGUACUAGCUUCUCUGAAGGAAUAACCCAAACAUCAUGAACCUUCUGCUUUUUUCUUUCGCACAGAGAAGCUUCCAGAACCCUCUUGAAUUAAUUAGAAUAGGAAAGAUCUCUACACAUCAGAUCAAUACUUUCUACACCAAGAAAUGCAAACUGACACCAUCUGUGGCAGGUAAGCUGUGUCCAUUUUGCUGCUUCCCAAGUUGAUGCAGAAUAUGCACAUCACAACACUGAACUGUCUUCCUCUCCCUAUUUAUUGAGGCCUACGACUCUACAACAUUCUGGCUCCCCCGGUGGCCUAUUAAAGGAGAUAAUAUAUAUAUAUAUAUACACACAUCACGUAAGAUCAGCCAGUAAGUUGUUCUCCUUGGCAGAUUCGGCCAGCAAAAGAUGGAGGUGGGAUGGCUGGGAGUGGAGCUAUUCGUAUCUGCCCUGAGAACUUUAUUAUGGGAGCCUUUUUCCAGCAAGUCAUAAAGAGAAAAAUAUUUUCUUGAGCUAAGCAAUAACACACAUGGCCUUGUUAAAGUUAGAGCGGGAUGGGCACUGCUGCUUAGGUUUUCCAGAUGUGUCGAAUGAAAAAGAACUCAUUUCCACAUGCAAGCGCUUGAGCCCUGACUGGGAAUGCAAAAGUCCUUAACUGAGAAGAUCCCUUCUCCGUCCAUCAUAGACUAUGUGGGUCAUCAUAAUCAUCACUCACAAACAAGAGCUAAUCCCUUUUCAGUGACCUCAAAAAUCACCACGCAUGACCUCAGCAAAUAAAGCCAUCUUAGUGUCCCCUGUCCUUUUAACAACCGUCAAUCACAGAGAUAACUAAAAAUGGCAAUGUAUGUAUUUCAUUGGUCACUAAAACUCCAGGUGGAAGAAAAAGUUUCAAAUGUAGUUCUUCUUUAAUUUGGCAGGGCCUGUUAAUAGACCUCAAUGACUGCAGGUGCUGUGCGUUUGUUUAGGAUGCAAUUUUGCUGUGAAAGCUCAAUAGCAAAGAGAAAAGAGAAGCCCCUUUUUAUUGUUGCUUAUUAAAAACAACAAUAACCUCUUUCCAUUUCAGCAGCUUUGCAUUUGGAGAUUAUCUAUUAAAACACACACAUGGCAAAAAUCAUGGGUUUUGAUAAGCAUUACCAGGAAAGAGAUUAACAAUAUUAUCCAGCUGAAUUCAGGGAGCUCAAUGAGGCUUUAACCUUCUGAUUUUGUUACACUUGUGGAACUCAAGCAAAUCUAAUGAGUAAAAGUAAAUGUCAAACAUUUAUCUAAUGCGGAGGACCUCUUCACUCCUAGAUUCCUGUGACAGCUGGCUGAACAAGAAUGAGAGAUGUAGCGGUCUUUCGUUUUAUUCCUUAACUGAAUAUACAAAAUAUUGAACAAAUGGGUAUUCAUCCCAACAUGAACUACUCCAUUUAGAGCCUUAACCUUAUUUUUAAAUAGGCAGAGCAAGAAAAGUGUCUGCGAU